rnacentral:lncRNA from 1 species
UUGGCAAAAAAAACCUGGACCAACUUCCUCCAUCACUUUAGCCCCCUUUUUCUCAGCUUCUUUUUUCUUAAUUUCUUCCUCUUCUUUUCUUUCCUUUUCUCUUCUUUGUUCAUCUUCAUUUCUUCUUUAUUCUUUUUCUUUUCUUUUUUGUUUUUUUUUCUCUUCUUUCUUUUUUAGAUCUUCUCUCCUUUUUUUUUUCUUCUUUUCUUUUCGCUCUUCCUUCUGCCUUUUUGCUUCAGCCUUCUUCUCCUUCUCUACUCCUUUUUCUCUUUUUCUCGCUUCUUGUCGAGACGAGCCCGCCUCUCGACAUCAAAAAUUGCCUUCCC